rnacentral:tRNA from 1 species
GCCAAGAUAGCUCAGUGGUGGAGCAAAGGAUUCAUAAACCUUAGGUCGUCAGUUCAAUUCUGUCUCUUGGUA